GUAAAUACUGGAUGGAAUGAGAUUCCUCAUCCCUCACACUGCUGGACACAUCAAGCUGAGGCUGGUUAGGUUCUUGCUAUCCCCCCAACACAGUCUCCAAGCCCCUUUCAGUGUGUGUCCUGACACGGCUGCCCCCUUGCCCUUCCUCAGGAAGACUACUGGGUUCUUGAAAUGUUAGUCGAUAGACUCCAACUUCAUGCCUUGGCCUUGUGGGGGUAUUUGUGUGCUCCCGUUUUCUUCUGGGGUACCACCUAUUCCUGGGCCCGCAAAGUGACAGGAACAGGAGAGGCCAUCCACUACUCAGGAGCCAGUCCUUAUUAGGAAGCUCACUUUCUGUCCCAUCACAGCCAGCUGCAAUAGCCAAGUGUUUGUUCCUGGCCAUAACUGCAUGACAAAAAUGACGAUAAUCAUCAUAAUAGCCAACAUUUAUUAGACUCUUAAUGUGUGUCAGAGACUGUUUAGUGCUUUACAUGCGUCGUCUCAUUUGCUGCUUACAGUAACCCCAUGAGGUCCGGUGGUAUUAGCUUCAUUUUAUGUAUGAGGAAACAGCCUUGGAGAAGUGAUUUGAUCAAGCUCUCACAGCAAGAAUUUGGCAAAGCUGGGAUUUAGGCAUCAAAAUCCAAGCUCUUAAUCACUGGGCCAUACUGCCUAAUUCACGGAAUUGGUUUUGUACUUUUCCGUCUCUAAACUGUCAGAGUAUGAGGAGUGUAAUUUCAUGAUAGAUUGAGUCAAGAACAUCAAAUUCUCCAGCAAUCUCUAUAUGACUUGUAUUGAGAUUCACUGAUAUCCUAAGCACUACUGAAGUGGGUUGGAGAGAACUGAGCUUCGCUGAGGACUGUGGGUCAGGUGCUCUGUUGAUUUGAUAGAUGAAGAAAGCAGUUCAGGGAUUCAGAACACGGUCUUUGAAAUCAGAUGACUUCAUGCUAUUGUCGCUGUGGAUUUAUGCUAAUUUAUUAACUUCUAUGACCUUCAAUUUUCUCAUUUGUAAACUGGAAUUCUAAUAGUAUUUUCCUCUUAAAGUUGCAAUAAAUUAAAUAAUGCAUGUAAAAAGCUUAGCACAGUGCCAAUACUAAGGGUUUAAUAAAUAUUUACUAUUACUAGUAUUGUUUUUUUUUUGGUCCUCCUUACAUAACUAUAAAGUUAAAUAUAAUUUGCCCUUGUCCUGAGUGGCCCAAGAUGAUCUUGGUCUAAGUUCUUAUUCCAGUUUUUCCAUUUUCUUUGUUCUGAUUUCCCUGCUCCUCACAUCAAAAAAUCAAAAUCCAUACCAUAGUUCUAACCUUGCAGGCUCUCUUCACCAUCAGGAAGAAUCUAUACUCUUUGGUUCUGGUCUGGGUUUUAAUUUCACACCUGAUCAUCCAAAUACACACAUAUGUGCCCCACAUGUAAACCAAACAUCCUAAAAUGUCGAAUAGGAGAAUCAGAGGAGAAGACCUGUGGAGGUUGGCCAAAGGGAAGCGGACGUGGAGAUCGGAAUUUGAAGUAGAGGCUAGUUGGGUUCAUUUUUGUCUGCUGCUUUUGAGGCAGGGGGUCAGGGGGUUAAAGUGCCCUAUGACCUCAGGAGAAACUCCCCAGGCCUGAGAAUGGCCUGUGAAUUACCUCUGCAUGGCUUUCUCCCUUACUGCCAUAUCUUUUCCUACCAACACCUUGUCUUCACUCUCGGUGGUUCUCACUCCCAGCCUAUCCUCUCCAUUUCAUGAGUCCAGUCCCUCCAUCAGCUCACCCAUGAAAUCAUUUAUACAAUCUCCUAGACUCUAAUCUCUCUUUUCCUCUGCAUUCUGCUGCCACAUCUGCCUGAAACACCACUUUUGUAUCAAAAUACCAGCCCGACAAGGUGGUCUAAUGAAAAGAGGACCAAACUGAUUGUCUGGAGCCCUGGGUUCUUGUCUCAACUCACAGUCUCUCUCGCUCUGUGACCUCAUGCGUAUACUUCUCCUCUCAUGACUUCAGUUUCUCUAUCUGAAACUGGGAGUGUGGAGUGGAGGUUGUUGAAUUAGCUGAUCCCUAAGCCCCUUCAGUUCUGGCAUUUCUCACUUCUGUCACUAGCUGUCAAGAACCUGUAGAAUUUUUUUCCUGUAGAAUUGUAUCUUACUCUCUCAUUCUGUCUUGUCUUGCCCCACCGCUCCUGUCUUUUGCUUCUUCCUAUGCACUCUUAUUUUUCCACUGUCCCCUUAAUAUACCCACCCGUUCUGCACACAUGUAUGUUCUUUCGCAUGAUGUUUUCUUGCUUGUAGGGCCUUCUCAACCUCCUUUCUGUAUAUCCAAAUACUGCUGAUCCUUUAGUUCCACUUCUAUGAAAAGCCUUCUUGAUUAAAUUCAACUAACAUUUGAUCUCUUGGUCUCCUGCUCCCCAAGAGAAAUAUAUUCUGUGCCAUAUUUAGCGUUACAGUUUAUUACAUUAUUCCAGGAGCAGGACCCAUCUGUUGGACGGGAAAAGCAUCCUCUUGUUGACUGACAUGGGGAGCAGGGAUCUCUGUCCCCUCUUUCCUCCCACCCCCAUCGGCAGGCUUCUUGUUCCCCAGCCGGACUUGGGAACAGCUGGUGUUCGCCCAACCCUCUGAUGUCUCCAGCUGCCCCUGCUUUUUUUUCUUUUGGUUUUCUCAGAUCCCAGCUGUGGGCCCCAGGGCAGAGCCAGUGACAAUGCAGCCAAGGGCAGCUGGAGCAAACCAAGAUACAUGGACAUGUAGCAGUUGAGAGUUAGAAGGAGGGCAGAACUGAGCACAAAUCACGCUAGUGUUGAAAACGAGGGGAAGCAGUUUGCCAGCUUAUUUUUUCCCAUCUUGCUCUCAUCUAAAAAAAGAAGCUGCUUAGAAAUACAGUCCUCCUUAGCCUGCGAAACCAGAUGGUCUCUAGAUGCCUGCCAAGUAUGCAUAUAAAAUUAUUCAUCUUCAUGGACUCACACCCAGGUCUGAAUCUAGACAUGCUUUUUUGCCAUUCGAUCUGGAGGCUGUGAACAUUUCUGAGCCUUUGUUUCUUUUUCUGUAAAGUGGGGUCACUAAUGUCUGCCUUGCCCCUUCAGUAUUGCCGGGAGAAGUUUCAACGUAAGAUAUAAGAGCACUUUGUAAUUUAUAAAGCACUGGACAAAUAUAUGUUUUUAUUAAUAGUAAAAGUGUCAUAUUUAGUUUUUGCUAUGAUGUGCUACUACUUAAUGAGCACUUAUUCUGUGCCAAAUACCGUGCUGUUUUACAUAUAUUGUAAAUACAUUUAAUCCUAAUGGCAUUUCUGUAAGAUGGUGCAUGUUAUCUCCUAUUCAACAGAUCAGAAAAGCGAGGUUCAGAAAGAUUUGCUAGCCCAGCUGCAGUCACCCAGCCUGGAAGUGCUGGAGCCAGGAUUUAACCUAAAUUGCUGGGUUCCAAAGUCAGCAUUCUUAAUGCCUGUUCAUUCUUCUCUCACACAAAAAAGAACAGUUCUUUAUUCUAUGUUAGCUAAAAUAACCCACAAUUUGAUCUCCAGUAAAUGCCCUAAGCAGUUGGGUCAUACAAAGAGGCAUUUUUGUUGAAGUCCUAAGUCCUGACAGUGUACCUUGAAUUGCUUUUCUGCCAGUAGAGAUGGGCUGGCUCUCCAUCCAUCUAUCCAUCUCUCCAUCUAUCCAUCCUUCCAUCCAUCCAUCAAUCCACCCACCCACCUCACAUAAAAUCAACAGUUCAGGGAACAAACCCAUUAGUACUGUACAAACCAUGAAGCCAAACAACUGGCAGAACUAUUAUUUUUUUAAUUUCUAACCCACAUAUUGUAGGUUAAUGAUUCUCAGCUCUAUGUGCAUCAGAAUCACUUUGGAACUAUAUGAAAGUACACAUGUCCUGGCCAUGUCUCCACAGGUCUAGAGAUGCUGAUUCAGAUGGUAUAGGGUGGGGACCAAAGAUGUGAGUGAGUGUGUGUGGGUGUGGGUGUGUGUGUGAGUGUGUGUAUGUGAGAGAGAGAGAGAGAGAAGCUCCAGGGGUAUUUCUGGUAUGCAGCCAAGUUUGAGAACCAUUGCUAUGGUCUAAAACUAUUAGUCUAUUUUCUUUUAUGAAGCAGGAGUAAUUGCUAGCUGAAAAUACAGAAUCAUUAAGUUUUAGACUUGGAAGAGUCCUUAUAUCAUUUGGUCCCUGAGGAAACCAGAGCUCAGAUAAGGUCAAUAAGUAGGUGGCAAACUUGAAUUAAAAUCUGUAUCUUCUGACUUCCAGUCUAGUGCUUUAGAUACAUCCACGGGUACCAGGGUUUUACCGGAUUAUUGAGACAAUCUUCAGGACCCACUCAUCAUGGCACUCAUGAUUUCCAGCAACCACACCUUGGAGUUUUUGUGGAGGGAAGAAGCCUGGCUAGAAGGCCUGUGAGAAUCUACUGGGAUGGCAGUUCUCAUAUGUGUUCAUUCAUUUCACAGCACUCAUUGAAGUCUAUACUGUGGCUGGCCCCAUCCUUAAGGAACUGAAUCUGGAGAGCAAGAAAGGCCCCGUCAACAGGUCCCACGUGUUAGCUCCUGUGCACUCGUGAUAAGAAAUCCUUACCACCUACUGUUGCAGACCUCACACACAAAGAAAGGCACUAGUAAAAAGAAUAAGCACCCCAUUCUGCUGUUGGAGAAACUGAGGGUAACUGGAAAACCUGAAGGUAAGGGCCCCAGAGAGAGUUAGGAAUACAGGAGAGAGAACGAGAGCUGGCCUCUGCCUCUCAGCCAAAGCCAUUCAGAGAUGGCACUAAGCAAAGGCUUUUCCAGCAGUGGAGGUAGACAGCAGCAAGCCAACUACAAGACUGGCAAGAAAAUAAGCUCUGAAGCUAGUGUGCCUCUAGCCAAACCUGAUUCUGCUAUUUACUAACUGUGUUACCCUGGACAAGUUAUUUUGCCUUUCUGAGCCUCAGUUUCCUCAUCUGUAAAAUGGGAAUACUAGUAUUUCUACUUUAUAGGGUUAUAUGGAUUAUAUGAGAUGAUACAGUAAAAAGCGACAAUGUGCAAUAAAGAGUAACUAUCAAUGUAACAUGUCUACAGCGUGCUAAGCACACUUAUACGAAUAAUGCAGAUUCCUCACCUUUGAGUUUACUGUCCCGUGGCCAGUAUAGGCAAGUAGACAUUUACCACAGAGUGUGCUGAGAGUGGUGCUGUCUAUAGCCUUGGAAUAGAUCUUCCUGUCUCUCCGUGAAGUUAAUUGUGUGAGAACAGAGAGACUGAACCCAUGACCUUAGUAAUGGGAACGUUAAAAAAAUAAUAGUAGAUAGCAGUUGGCCAUUAUCAGAGAGAGGGUGUAAAAUGUCAUAGAAGUUAGUUAUUUCAUUUUAUCCUCUGCAAGGCCUUAUAAGAUUUGCUGAUGAGUAACUGAAGAGGUGAGUGUGGCUUUUCUGUGGCCACAAUAAAAGUAAUUGUCCCUAAGGCCCUGCACAUACCAACCUUUACCCCGAUAAAGGCCAGCAGGGUUGGUACUGGUAUGUCAUGUGCCCCCCUACCCACCUUGCGGCGGGGAAAAUAAGUAGCAUAAUGGCCAAAGGGUAAUUUGGGAAGAGACUGCUGGCCAGAACCUGGUGAAUCUAUCACCUACCAGUAAGCAGAUCAUUUUUAUGAGGCCAAGGAAUUUAGGAAAAUGCCUUUCUGCAGGUUUAGGUUGAAGUGAAACCCUCUAGCGUACCCUCCCCUCAGUUGGAUAUAGCACAGUGGCAGAGGACGGGGGAAUACGACAGAGGGCAGUUUGCCCUGUCGCUUUGUGCCAGUGACCUCUGCCCAUACCCAGAGCUCCAUUUAAGGGCAUGUCCUGACACAGGUUGGACUUGAGGCCUUGUCUACCCUGCUUUGUGUCUGCCAUGUCGUUUUUGUCUGUCCCUUCGCAUGCAUAUGAUACUGAUAGAGUAUAAAUUCUUCUCGGCCCUGGAUGCCCACAGAUUCUAUAAGAGCCCUGUCACUUCUUAGGAGACUGAGGCUCAGAGAAAGCACAUGACACAUCCAAGAUGAAAGCUAGAAAGUGGAAAUCCAAAGACCGGACCCUGGCUCUGGGGCUCUGAGUCCAGGGUGUCCCUCCCUGGGACCAUAGAUUUGGCUUUCCUAAGAGGGAGAGGUUCAUCCCAAAUGAGCAAAGGGUCCUUGGCCACAAAGGUCACUUCCUUUUCCUGAUACCACUUUUCAUGUGGGAGGUCACAGGGACAUUAGGAAGCCAGUGGUGGAGGUGGAAUGAGCCCCACUUGAGAGACAGGAGGCUAGAGCUCUCCUCUGACUCUGUGCCCUCUCUCCUGUGGUCUUGAGUGGGUCACUGUACCUCUCAGUGUCUUGGGGUCCUUGUCUACGAUCAGGAAUACCACAUAUUCCUUUCCCUGCUUAUCUCUUGGGUAUGAUGAGAAGCAAAGUAACAAGUGAUGUCAGACAUGCUUUUGAGGAUGUUAGAAGCAUGAUUCUGAAUAUCUUCAAACAAAAAUGAGGGCUGGCCGGUGGCCCUCAGAUGUUUUUUUCUUUUAUUUCAUUCAUUCAUUCACUCAAUGCUGGAAAAUGUUUGUUGAAUACUUUCCUAAUGUCAGAUACUGUGUUAAAUAAUGGGGACCCAAGGAAAUCCCCAGGCUUUGAAGAAUUCAAAGGAAAGAGAGACAGAUCUUAACAAAUAAUUAUGGUAUCUAGUAAAUGUGAGGCCUUUUCAAGAGAUGCCCACAAUCAGGGAGACCUUUCAUUGAGGUGUCCCGAGGUGCUGUGGAAUGUAGAAAGGAGUGCAGUGAGGAACAGUUGGAGCCAGAGAAGGCCCACAAAAGGAGGGUGAGUAGGAGGGUGAUGAGGAUGUGGGGGAGUGGGAGGGACAGAGGAAACACCUUGUACAAGGCUCUAGAGAAUAUGUGAGUAGCUUAGCAUAGCUGGAGCACUCACUGGUUGUGUGAGGGAAGUGUGGUGGCUGUUUCUUAUUGUCAGAAUGGAGCCUAGAGGUCACCCCAAUGGUCAUCUAGUGGUUCUCUCUGAGGCAUGUUUACCUGUGUGAAUCUGUGUACAUUGGUUCGCCUCUCUGGGUUACAGUGAGAGGCCUAUGUAAAUGAAAUUCAGGGAUGGAGCUCCGUUUGAUGUUCCACGGGAGGAGGGAUUUUUAGGAAACUAUCUCAAGUGCUAACUGGACAUGCUCUGGGUUCCUAAGCUUCCAAGUUAUACAGUGCUGUUCGGGUUACAAUCUGAGCUCCAGGGUCCCACCCACUCCAUGAGCACCUAGUGUUGGUUGGUGGUAGUUCCUGAGAGAAAGAGGGUUUAGUUGUGUUGGUUUGCUGCUGACUGGCAUAACUUGCCUCAUCAGGCAGGAUUUUCAGCCAGCUCCUAUGGUAGAAGUCUGUUUCCAUUGGGCCCAGCAUAUACUGGGCCAUCUCAUCCCAAGUCCAAGCAGGAUCAGUUUUAAUCACAGCCCACUACAAACUUAUGCAGAGAGAACUCCUUAGGACAUCUUCUUCAGAAGGCGCUGUGAGUGGAGAAGGUACCUAGCUUUCCAGAACUCACCUCUUGGAUGGCAUUUCAUUGGCAUAGGCUGCGUUAUCUAUUCUCUGAGCCCUUUUCAAUUAGGACAUUAGAGUAUAAAGUUGCCAUUUCAUGAUUUCUUUUUCUUCUUUAAUUUAUCCUGAUCUUAAUGCAGAGCACAAAUUGAGAAAGAUAGCUAUCUGAUUUAAAAUGGCCCCGGCAGCGGGGAGGGGCGGGGACCAAUACAGUUAGAUAAACUUUACUAUAUCCAAGGGAAAGAUCUGUAAAGCUCUGAGUGCCUGCCUGACCUUCUAUGAAAGGUGAUCAUCAAGUUUUUGCUUUAGUCUUUUUAGAACCAGAUAGGCCACAGCAGGACUUCUGGGCCCAGCCACAGGCCAGCAAAUAGCAGUGAGGAGCCGAGGGAAUGGAAAGGGGUAAGAUUGGGGACCUCAUUGCAUGUGACCUGUUCUCUAAGCCAUCUGUUCUUAUAAAUCCCUCCUAGCAGCCCAGAGCAACUAGUGAGCAGGACAGGGGUCUUUGAAACACAAAUUGCCAGUGAUUACAAGGCCUUUGGGUGUGAGACUGUCUUUCCUCUCUCCAAGUGGCUAUGGUUUAUAAAGGAUAAGCGAUGUGUUUUUCUCUGUCUGGUCCAGUGUCCCUCCCAUGCAGUGGCUAGGGGAUGCUGUCAGAAGCUCCUGAGAGUGGCGGUGGAUCGACUUCCAGAAAGACAAGUUAAAACCCAGCUCCAAGGUAAGCUCCAGAGCCUGGACCCUGGCAAAUUAGUCUUUUGGCCUGGUUGCCAUGGAGACAGACAGGCAGCAGCUGCGAGGGAAGAGGGAACAGCAGCUUCACCGACAUCUAGGAUUCUGAGACAGCCAUGGUGGGGGAGGGGCCUUGACAUCGCCCUUUCUCUCCCAGAUACAGAGGCUCCUGUGUGCACCCCCCAGCUCCCAGACUCACAGGACCUGGUGAGUUGCCAGGGGCAAAAGGAGACAUGACAGCGCUGGCUCCUGAACCUGAUUUCCCGCUUCUAGGCCAGUUCCCUGCCAUCAGACCACAGUUGCCUCCUGCUGGCUUUUGGAGCAAACAGAUUUUCUAGCACUGAGCUCCUGGGCCCUGGGGAGGCGGGGUUCCCAAGUGCCCUCCUUGGAGGGGAUACAUCGUUAGAGGUGAAUCCCAAAGUAGUGGCCACCAGAGGCCAAUUUGGACGGGAGCUGUGUCCCUGUCUCUCUGGAAAGCCUGGCAGCGGCUGUGUGGGGGUGUGACCAGCCAUUGUCUGGGAAAGGAACUUGAAGCUAAGCCCAGGGGCAUCUGGGCAAAUAGUGGGGUUUAUUGUUUCCUCAUUUGAUGCUACAUUGAUAUCAUUAAUUUGUGACUUCAAGCCCUGUCCUCCCUAGCCCAGAGGAGACAGUUCUCUCCUCCUUCGGGUUAUCUCUGGGAAUUAAAGGUGGGAGAGAGGGGGCCUGGGAUCCAGGUCGCCUGAGUCCACUUUCACUGCAGAGCUGCCAGGAGGUUGUGUCUCAGGGUCAGUCUCCUCCCUUGGUAAGAGGAGAAAUGAGGCUGGUGUUGUCCACGGCUUUGCAGGUGAGCAGGGUCGUUACCUAAGACAACAGAGCCCUAGUGUGGAGGGACAGCAGAACUGGAAAAAAGCAGCAGCUACUACCCACCAGGCAGGGCUUUUGGUGGUCAUGUUGUUUUUAUUAUGAUUUAAUAUAAAGUAAAUGGAGAAAAUGACCCAUCACCUCAUGCCCAAAUCCUUCUUCCUGCUGGAAACUAUUGAUAAUUUUGUUGUGUAUCUUUUCAGCUCUUUCUCUAGGCUUAUACUUUCCUCCCUUUAUUAUUAUUUUUUAAUUGCACAAAUGAUGUGAGAACACAUUUUUAUAAAAGAUGCAAACACCACAUAUAAAAUAGAAGUCAUAGCAAGUCUUCUUUUAGUCUAUUCUCUUCACCAAAAACAGCUAUUGUUAACAGUUUACCGUCCUCAGUACAUUUAUGCACAAACACAAAUACAGCAUUUUAGCCUUUCUUUCUUUAGCAUAAAUGCAAUCAUAAUAUACAUAUCGUUCGGCAGAUUGCUCUUCCAGACACAAUAAUAUGUUACCCUGUAGAUUUUUCCGUGUCGACAUACCCACCCCAUUCCCCAUAACUGCUGCCUAAUAUUUUACAUUAUGGAUGUUCUGUACUUAUUUAAGUAGUCUCCUCUCAUAGACACUUGCAUUAUUUAUAAUUUUUUGUUAUUAAUAAUGCUUUGAACACUUGUGCAUCUAUUUAUGCAGGGUUUAUUUCUAGAAGUAGAAUUGCUGGGUUAACAUGUCAGUAUAUCUUUAAUUUUUCUAAAUAUCAUGGGGAUUUAUUUUUAAAUUUUACCUUUUAGAAAUGAUCCAAGACAUGGAUACCCAUCGAAAAAAAAAAAAAAGUGGAAAGUAUAGAAAA